UACGUAGGUGGCAAGCGUUACUCGGAAUCACUAGGCGUAAAGCGCAGGUAGGCGGUCGAAUAAGUUCUUUGUGAAAGCUCCUGGCUUAACUGGGAGAGGUCAAGGAAUACUGUUUGGCUAGAGUACGGUAGGGGAAACUGGAAUUCCUGGUGUAGCGGUGAAAUGCGCAGGAUAUCAGGAGGAACACCGGUGGCGAAGGCGACUGCUCGUGGGCCGAAACUGCGCUGAGGAGCGAAAGCGUGGGUAGCAAACAGG
rnacentral:rRNA from 1 species